rnacentral:rRNA from 1 species
CGUGGGGAACCUGCCCCAUAGUCUGGGAUACCACUUGGAAACAGGUGCUAAUACCGGAUAAUAAAGCAGAUCGCAUGAUCAGCUUUUAAAAGGCGGCGUAAGCUGUCGCUAUGGGAUGGCCCCGCGGUGCAUUAGCUAGUUGGUAAGGUAAAGGCUUACCAAGGCGAUGAUGCAUAGCCGAGUUGAGAGACUGAUCGGCCACAUUGGGACUGAGACACGGCCCAAACUCCUACGGGAGGCAGCAGAG